UACGUAGGUCCCGAGCGUUGUCCGGAUUUAUUGGGUGUAAAGGGAGCGCAGGCGGCUUUGCAAGUCUGAUGUGAAAGGCCGGGGCUCAACCCCGGGACUGCAUUGGAAACUGUAAAGCUAGAGUGCCGGAGAGGUAAGCGGAAUUCCUAGUGUAGCGGUGAAAUGCGUAGAUAUUAGGAGGAACACCAGUGGCGAAGGCGGCUUACUGGACGGCAACUGACGCUGAGGCUCGAAAGCGUGGGGAGCAAACAGG
rnacentral:rRNA from 1 species